GCGAAGCCGGGAAAACAAGUUUACCAAACAAUUCGAACGUACGGAAAAAAAAACAUUCCCCCGAAUAUCUUACGAUUCAGUUACGUCAUAGAUAUAGGAUUUUAUUGAUCCGCUAAUCUCGAAUAUUCCUCAAAUAUGCGAUAUCCUUUAUUUUUUCAUAAUACCACACCGCUGGUAUACGAAGAAAAUCAAAAUCUAGUAGAUUCUACAAUAUAGAGCACACAUUCCAUCGAUGUGAAAGUUAUUCAGACAAGUUUCAGAGUAAUGACGGUUUUCGUAACAAAAUAUUGAUUUCGUAAUGCCAUCAAGAAUUCACGGUUUUUUCUUUCUAUCAUAAGGUCAAUAUGAGGAAAAAUAAAAUUUCAGCUACAUUUAAGUCACCAUCCGGAAAAAUCCUCGUUAUCAACUGUACAAAAAGACGACGAAGUUUCAUUUGGUUCCAAGCCUUCGCGUCGUACGCCUGUCACGUCUGGACAUUUUAAGCAGCAGCAAUUAAAUUCGAUACUAGUGUUUACUGUAAAAUAGUACACACAAGUCAUGUUUGAGUAUCGGCUAAAAUUAUCGAAGAAAAACUAUGCAGUCGCUUUUUGGAAUUCGACCCAAUACUAAAACUCGAAAAUAAAAAAUCUGUUUCGAAAGACCGAAAAGUUACGCGAUAAUUUGUGUACAAAAAAAUGUUUGGUUAAAAAUAUCGAUUCUUUCUUCGAACGAUGACUCACAAGGAGAGAAAAAAGAAUUACGAUCGCGUUAUACGAAAAACGAAAAUUUACGUAGUAUUUAAUCCCCAUAUUCUGCUGGAAAAACAGUAGAAAUCCCUGCAUUUUGAAUGCCCGAAGCAAGAAAACAAACGUAUGUGAAAGAUAGCCCCGAGCAAAGUCCAUAGUUGAUGUGUUUCGUUGCAGCAAUGCGUGCUCGGAUCGCAUCAUACUUCUCAGUUGUCAAUAGCAGAAAGGAACAAUUUUUGACUAUUUGUAUGCACGAAAAAUUCGUAAUUUCAAGUUUUUGUUAUAAAUUU